rnacentral:rRNA from 1 species
UGGGGAAUAUUGGACAAUGGGCGCAAGCCUGAUCCAGCAAUGCCGCGUGUGUGAAGAAGGCCUUCGGGUUGUAAAGCACUUUUAUCAGGAGCGAAACGCUGUCGGCUAAUACCCGGCGGAACUGACGGUACCUGAGGAAUAAGCACCGGCUAACUUCGUGCCAGCAGCCGCGGUAAUACGAAGGGUGCAAGCGUUAAUCGGAAUUACUGGGCGUAAAGCGUGCGUAGGCGGUUUCUUAAGUCUGCUGUGAAAUCCCCGGGCUCAACCUGGGAAUGGCAGUGGAUACUGGGAGGCUAGAGUGUGUCAGAGGGUGGUGGAAUUCCCGGUGUAGCGGUGAAAUGCGUAGAGAUCGGGAGGAACAUCAGUGGCGAAGGCGGCCACCUGGGACAACACUGACGCUGAGGCACGAAAGCGUGGGGAGCAAACAGGAUUAGAUACCCUGGUAGUCCACGCCCUAAACGAUGCGAACUGGAUGUUGGUCUCAACUCGGAGAUCAGUGUCGAAGCUAACGCGUUAAGCUCGCCGCCUGGGGAGUACGGUCGCAAGACUGAAACUUAAAGGGAAUUGAC